rnacentral:miRNA from 1 species
AGAUCGGACGACUAAUCGCGAUUA